CCAUUCUUGGGUUCUGUGAGUCUGCUGCUGUUUUGCUCCUUCAGAUUUUGCUUUGUUCUUAUGCUCAACAGAUGAGUGAAAUCAUUUGGUACUUGACUUUCUCUGCCUGGCUAUUUCACUGAGCAUAAUACCCUCUAGUUCCAUCCAUGUUGUUGCAAAUGGUAGGAUUUGUUUCUUCUUAUGGCUGAAUAAUUUUCCACUGUGUAUAUAUACCACAUCUUCUUUAUCCAUUCAUCUACUGAUGGACACUUAGGUUGCUUCCAUUUCUUGGCUAUUGUAAGUAGUGCUGCGAUAAACAUAGGGGUGCAUAUAUCUUUUUGAAACUUGGCUCCUGCAUUCUUAGGGUAAAUUCCUAAGAGUGGAAUUUCUGGGUCAAAUGGUAUUUCUAUUUUUAGUUUUUUGAGGAACCUCCAUACUGCUUUCCACAAUGGUUGAACUAGUUUACAUUCCCACCAGCAUGUACGAGGGUACCUCUUUCUCCGCAUCCUCACCAGCAUUUGUUGUUCUUAGUCUUUUCUAUGCUGGCCUUCCUAACUGGUAUGAGGUGAUAUCUCAUUGUGGUUUUAAUUUGCAUUUCCCUGAUAAUUAGUGAUGUGGAGCAUCUUUUCAUGUGCCUGUUGGCCCUCUGAAUUUCUUCUUUAGAGAAUUGUCUGUUCAUAUCCUACACCCAUUUUUUAAUUGGGUUAUUUGCUUUUUGGUUGUUGAGAUGUGUGAAUUAUUUAUAUAUUUUGGAUAUCCUUACUGGAUAUGUCAUUUACAAAUAUAUUCUUCCAUACUGAAGGAUACCUUUUUGUGCUACUGAUGUUGUCCUUUGCUGUACAGAAGCUUUUUAGCUUGAUGUAGUCCCAUUUGUUCAUUUUUGCUUUUGUUUCCCUUGCAGGAGGAGAUGUGUUCAGGAAAAAGUUGCUUGUGUUUAUAUUCAGGAGAUUUUUGCCUGUUUUCUUUGAAGAUUUUUAUGGUUUCAUGACUUACAUUCAGGUCUUUGAUCCAUUUUGAGUUUACUUUUGUGUAUACGGUUAGACAGUAAUCCAGUUUCAUUCUCUUGCAUGAGCUGUCCAGUUUUGCCAACACCACUUGUUGAGGACACUGUCAUUUCCCCAUUGUAUGUCCAUGGCUCCUUUAUCGUAUAUUAAUUGACCAUAUAUGCUUAGGUUUAUAUCUAGACUCUCUAGUCUAUUCCAUUGGUCUAUGGGUCUGUUCUUGUGCCAGUACCAAAUUGUCUUGAUUACUUUGGCUUUGUAGUAGAGCUUGAAGUUGGGGAGCAUAAUCCACCCAGUUUUAUUGUUCCUUCUCAGGAUUGCUUUGGCUAUUCAGGGUCUUUUGUGGUUCCAUAUGAAUAUUAGAACUAUUUGCUCUAGUUUGUUGAAGAAUGCAGUUGGUAUUUUGAUAGGGAUUGCAUUGAGUCUGUAGAUUGCUUUAGGCAGGAUGGCCAUUUUGACAAUAUUAAUUCUUCCUAUCCAUGAGCAUGGAAUGUGUUUCCAUGUUUUGGUAUCUUCUUUAAUUUCUCUCAUGAGUGUCCUAUAGUUUUCAGGGUAUAGAUCUUUCACUUCCUUGGUUAGGUUUAUUCCUAGGUAUUUUAUUCUUUUUGAUGCAAUUGUAAAUGGAAUUGUUUUCCUGAUUUCUCUUCUCGUUCAUCAUUAGUUUAUACAAAUGCAACAGAUUUCUGUAUAUUAAUUUUAUUAUUGAAACUUUGCUGAAUUCAGAUAUUAGAUCUAGUCAAUUUGGAGUGGAUUCUUUAGGUUUUUUUAUACAACAUCAUGUAAUCUGCAUAUAGUGACAGUUUCACUUCUUUACCAAUCUGGAUGCCUUUUAUUUCUUUUUGUUGUCUGAUUGUCAUGGCUAGGACCUCCAGUACUAUGUUGAAUAAAAGUGGAAGGGGGUGAAUCCUUGUCUUGUUCCCAAACUUAAAGGAAAAGCUUUUAGCUUCCACUGUUAAGUAUGUUGGCUACGGGUUUGUCAUAUAUGACCUUUAUUAUAUUGAGGUACUUGCCCUCUAUACCCAUUUUGUUGAGAGUUUUUAUCAUGAAUGGAUACUGAAUUUUGUCGAAUGCAUUUUCAGCAUCUAUGGAGAUGAAAACGUGGUAUUUAUCCUCCUUUUUGUUGAUGUGAUGGAUGAUGAUGAUGGCUUUUCUAUUGUUGUACCAUCCUUGCAUUGCUGGAAUAAAUCAUACUUGUUCAUGAUGGAUGAUCUUUUUGAUGUAUUUUUGAAUUCAGUUUGCUAAUAUUUUGUUGAGUAUUUUUGCAUCUAUGUUUAUCAGGGAUAUUGGUCUGUAAUUUUCUUUUUUUGUGGUGUCUUUGCCUGGUUUUGGUAUUAGAGUGAUGCUGGCCUCGUAGAAUGAGUUUGGUAGUAUUCCCUCUUCUACUUUUUGGAAAACCUUAAAGAAGAUGGGUAUUAGGGUCUUCACUAAAUGUUUGAUAAAAUUCAGUGGUGAAGCCAUCUGGUUCUGGUAUUUUGUUCUUAGGUAAUUUUUUGAUUACCAGUUCAAUUUCAUUGCUGGUAAUUGUUCUGUUCAGUUUUCUGUUUCUUCCUGGGUCAGCCUGGGAAGGUUUUAUUUUUCUAGAAAGUUGUCCAUUUCUUCUAGGUUAUCCAGUUUGUUACCAUAUAAUUUUUCAUAGUAUUCUCUAAUAAUUCUUUGUAUUUCUGUGGUGUCCAUCUUGAUUUUUCCUUCCUCGUUUCUGAUUCCUUUUAUGUGUGUAGACUCUUUUUUCCUUGAUAAGUCUGGCUUGGGGUUUGUCUAUUUUGUUUAUUUUCUUAAAGAACCAGCUCCUGCUUUCUUUGAUAUUUUCUAUUGUUUUAUUCUCAAUUUUAUUUAUUUAUGCUCUAAUAUUUAUUAUGUCCCUCCUACUAACUUUGGGCCUCAUUUGUUCUUUUUCUGCUUUUGUUAAUUGUGAAUUUACACUGUUCAUAUGAGAUUGUUUUUCUUUCCUGAGGUAAGCCUAUAUUACAGUAUACUUCCCUCUCAGCAUAGCCUUCACUGCAUCCCACAGAUUUUGCAGUGUUGUGUUACUGUUGUCAUUUGUCUCCAUAUAUUGGAUGAUCCCUGUUUUAAUUUGGUCAUUGAUCCAUUGAUUCUUUAGGAGCAUGUUGUUAGGCCUCCAUGUGUUUUUGAGUUUCUUCAUUUUCUUUGCAUAAUUUAUUUCUAGUUUCAUACCUUUGUGGUCUGAGAAACUGGUUGGUACAAUUUCAGUCUUUUUGAAUUUACUGAGGCUCUUUUUGUGGCCUAGUAUAUGAUUUAGUCUUGAAAAUGUUCCAUGUGCACUUGAGAAGAAUGUCUAUCCUGCUGCUUUUGGGUGUAGUGUUCUGUAGAUGUCUGUUAGGUCCGUGUGUUCUAAUGUGUUGUUCAAUACCUCUGUCUCCAUACUUAUUUUCUUUCUGGUUGAUCUGUCCUUUAGAGUGAGUGGAGUGUUGAAGUCUCCUAAAAUGAAUGCAUUGCAUUCUGUUUCCCCCUUCAAUUCUGUUAGUAUUUGUUUCACAUAUGUAGGUGAUCCUGUGUUGGGUGCAUAGAUAUUUUUCAUGGUUAUAUCCUCUUGUUGGACUGACCCCUUUAUUAUUAUGUAAUGUCCUUUGUCUCUUGUGACUUUGUUUUGAAGUCUAUUUUUUCUGAUGCAAGUACUGCAACUCCUGAUGUUUUCUCCCUAUUAGUUGCUUGGACUGUCUUUUUCCAUCCCUUCACUUUCAGUCUGUAUAAAUCUUUGCAUUUGAAGUGAGUCUCUUGUAGGUAGCAUAUAGAUGGGUCUUGUAGUUUUAUCCAUUCAGUGACUCUGUCUUUUGUUGGUGCAUUUAGAUGAUUUACAUUUAGGGUGGCUAUCUAUAGGUAUGUAUUUAUUGCCAUUCAGGCUUUAGAUUUGUGGUUACCAAAGGUUCAAGGGUAAUUCCCUUCCUAUCUAACAGUCUAACUUAACUCACUUAGUAUGCAAUUGCAAACACAAUCUGAAGGAUCUUUUUUUUUUCUCCUUUUUCUUCUCCAUUCUUUACAUAUUAGGUAUCAUAUUCUCUACUCUUUGUCUAUCCCUUGGCUGACUUUUAGGUUAGUUGAUUUAAUUUUGCAUCUGCUUCAUAAUUAAUUGUUCUACUUUCUUUAUUGUGGUUUUAUUUCCUCUGGUGACAGCUAUUUAGCCUUAGAAAUACUUCCAUCUAUAGUAGUCCCUCCAAAAUAGACUAUAGAGAUGGUUUGUGGGAGGUAAAUUCUCUCAGCUUUUGCUUAUCUGGAAAUUAUUUAAUCCCUCCUUCAAAUUUAAGUGAUUAAUCUUGCCAGGUAGAGUAUUCUUGGUUCGAGGCCCUUCUGCUUCAUUGUAUUAAAUACAUCAUGCCACUCCUUUCUGGCCUGUAAGAUUUCUGUUGAGAAGUCUGAUGAAGUCUGAUGGGUUUUCCUUUGUAUGUGAUCUUAUUUCUCUCUCUGGCUGCUUUUAAUAGUCUGUUCUUAUCUUUGAUCUUUGCCGUUUUAAUUAUUAUAUGUCUUGGUUUUGUCUUCCUUGAGUUCCUUGUGUUGGGAGAUCUGUGUACCUCCAUGGCCUGAGAUACUAUCUCCUUCCCCAGAUUGGGAAUGUUUUCAGCAAUUAACUCUUCAAAGACACUUUAUAUCCCUUUUUCUCUCUUCUUCUUCUGUUACUCCUAUAAUGUGAAUAUUGUUCCAUUUGGAUUGGUUACACAGUUCUCUCUAUAUUCUUUCAUUCUUAGAGAUCCUUUUUUCUCUCUGUGCCUCAGCUUCUUUGUAUUCCUCUUCUCUAAUUUCUAUUCCAUUUAUUGUCUCCUCCACUAUAUCUAAUCUUCUUCUAAAUCCCUCCAUUGUAUGUUCAUUUCAGAUAUGUAAUUUCUUAAUGAUUGAAUCUCUGUACAAAUUCUUCCCUGAGUUCUUAAAUAGUUUUCUGUACCUCCAUGAGCAUGUUUAUGAUUUUUAUUUUGAAAUCUCUUUCAGGAACAUUGAUGAGUUCAGUUUCACUUGACCCUUUUUCUGGUAUUGUGGGAUUUUUGUUUGAACCAGGUUCUUUUGACGUUUCAUAUUUGUAUGUGGUGCCCUUUAGUGUCCAGAAUCUCUACUCACUGGAGCUGCUCAGCCCCUGGAGUGAUGUUGUGGGUCACGGCCAAGUGGUGCUGGUGCUUCAGGGGAGGAAAGAGCUGUUUCCUGCUUCCUGGCUGCUAUGCCUGCCUUUACUGCCAUGCCUGCCUUUACUGCCACAACCAGUGGGCCGAGUACACAGGUGUAAGCCUCUAUGCUUUACAUUUGUAGCUGCUAUAGGCAGGGUCUCCCUCUGGCUGGCCUCACACCAGGGCAGGGGCUGCCGGUUUUUGAGCCAGUGUGGGCUGGUCGGGAGGAAGGCACAGCAGAUUGCAUAUUAUGGUAGGGGGCCUUGGAGCUGUAUAGCCAGCCAGAGGGAUGAAGCUCCUGAAAGGUCCCAACCUGCUGGGCAGAGUGCACCCAGACAAUUUUGUCCACCUGUCCUUUCUCCUGAGCAGUAAGCUCUGUGCAAUCCUUGCCCCUUUAGCAGCCCUCUCACUGUUAGGAAAUCUCUUAGACUGCCCGCCUUUUGUCCUAGAGCAGUCAGAUGUGGAUCCCUGUUUUCCACAAGUGGCUGGAAUCUCAGUCUCUCCAGGUAUUCCGCCUGUCUUAGCUUUCCAACCCCACUAAUCUCCAGUGCACCAUGCAACGUAGGUUCAUGUUCCCAGAGUAGAUCUCCAGGACUGGGUGUUCAGCAGUCCUAGGCCUGCAUUCCCUCCCCACUUCAUUUCUCUUCUUCCUGCCCAUGAACUGGGAUGGGGAAAGGGCUUGGGUCCCACUGGAUCAUGGCUUUUGGUACGUUAUCCUGUUCCAUGAAGUCUUUUCUUUUCUCCAGGUGUAUGCAGUCUGGCUUAGCCUUCUUUCCUGUUGCUCUUUCAGGAUUUGUUGUAUUAAUUAUAUUUUCAUAUUAUAUGUGGUUUUGGGAGGAGGCCUCUGUCUCACCUCUCACACUGUAAUCUUUAAUUGUAUUAUCUGAAAUGAUCUAGUUUAAUUCCUUUUAAUGUUUUUAAUACUCUAUUCAGUUAUAUUGGUUUAAAAAAGGAGUCCCAUUAACUAGAAUAAAUGCUAAUAAGUUUAGGAUAAUGUACAUUUUAGAUAUUCAGUAGUUCAUGUUUUCUGUACUAAUUGUUAAACCAAAUAAAGAAGAAAUUUAAGCUUGUGUUUUAUCUAGAACUGAGCAUUACUUUCUUUUAAGUAUAUAUUUUUAAGACCACAUAAUUUUUUGUCUGCCCAAAGAAAGGGCAGAUAAGUGAGCUUAAAUGAAGUGGCACAUGUUUGUUUCUCACUGAAUCUUACAGUAGCAAGUAAAUGUUAUAAUGUACUACUACAUGGAAAAUGAGUUGGUAAGAAAUCCAAUUCCAGAACCCAGAAAUUAUUAUGAACAGUAAGUCGGUGAAAUAUGGUUAUGAAUUAUGAAAUGUGACAAUGUAUUUAAAUGCAUUUUUAAAUUGCAUAUAUUAUUCUCACAUUAAUUUGCUGUACAAUAGUUAAAUUUUAAGAAAUUUCCCUAGAUCUAUGCAUCAUGUUUUAUUUAUAUUUAUUUUCAAAAGUAUUUGCCAUUGUAGUAGAAUAAAGCAAUGAUUGUAAGUUUAAAAGUGAAUUUGCUUAUAUAUUCUGAAAAUUAGUAGCUUGCUUAAGUAAGAUUAUUAUGGCUGUUCUUGUCUCUUGUUCACUAUUUUGUAUUACAAAAAUGUCUUCAUUUUUAAACCUAUUCAAUAAAGACCUGGAGCAAAGAAA